ensembl:lncRNA
AGCUGAUGGGAAUAAUUCUUCAGCACCAGUUCUGAACAAGCGCCAGAGAAGUUUGUUUCCAGAAGUCUAGACCUCUUAAUUGUAUAAUGCCGGGCCGCACUCCAAUGGGAGUUUGCAAUCACAGGAAGAUUCGUCUGGAUUCUUGGGAGGGCAACCUUUCUGUCUGGUGUUUAACUCCCUGCCCCAGCCAGAUGCCUCUCCUGUUUGCUCUCAGAGCACUCACCACACUGUGAUGCAGGGGUGCUGUUAACCUGUCUCUCCCCACCCAGGGGUCUUUCUUAGGGGCAAGGUCAUUUAUUGAAGGCUGAGCGUUUAGUUAGCCCAACAUAGGAGGUGCUGAGCAGUCCUAUUCCCAGUCUAGUCCUUUCUUAGACUAAAGCAGAUAAAAUCUAUCUGGUGAAACUCUUUGAACUCUCAGGAAGGAAGGUCCUGCAUAAACAAAAGGUGAAUGUAUUAACAGUCACAUUACUAAUUAUUUUCCAGAGUUGAGUUAAUGUGGUUGAAUGAUCUAGGUGCUUGGCUUCAGCUGUCUCCCUCUUCAGCCUUAUAUUCUAACCGCACAUUUCUAAGCCAGCCAGAAGGAGUUAAGAGAGGCACUGGAGUACACACAGGUCUCAGAGGGACUGCGUCUGGUGAGGGUCCGUGAGUAGAAGAGUGAGACUUUCUUUGUUCGGUCUAUCUUGUGAGCCAGAUGGGGAAUUCGGUCUCAGAUGUCUUUGAGGGUCUUUACAUCCGGGCAGAAUUGUCAUCGUUUUCCUUGGCUCCCGGGAGAAGACAGCUUUCCAGGCUUUGAACUGGAAUUGGAAAUGGAGGGUUCUGUCCCCUGUGUCUGUGGCCUUGGGCAGGGCUCUUGUCCUCUGUGUCACUUCAGAAUGGGAGAACGCCACCUGUGCUGUGGGCCUCACUAAGCUACAAGGAUUGAAGGAAAUACAGCUGAAGGGAAAGCACUUCUGGGAGGGUACAGCACAGUGCGGAUGGAGUGAUUUUGCCCGUUUGUCAGGGAACAGUGCGUUGUCAUCAUAAACGUGGUGUGGUACCUCGUUGAAAAUACCAACCGUACAGAAAAAUCUACAAAAUUUAAAGCAAAAAGACCUUCCCUUUCUUCCCCCACUGCUCCUGUCUAAGCCCUUUCCCAAAGACAGGGAAUACUGUUAACCAUUUAUCCUGUAUCCUUCUGAUCAUUCUAAUGUAUUAAUACUUCCAGACAUUCCCUAUCAUGUAUUGCCUGUAAAAUAAACACAACUUAAUAG